rfam:Loxodonta africana unplaced genomic scaffold scaffold_2, whole genome shotgun sequence.
GUCAGGAUGGCUGAGCAGUCUAAGCUGCUGCGUUCAGGUCCCAGCCUCCCCUGGAGGCGUGUGUUCGAAUCCCACUCCUGACA